rnacentral:rRNA from 1 species
AGUGGCGGACGGGUGAGUAACGCGUGGGUAACCUGCCUCAUACAGGGGGAUAACAGUUGGAAAUGACUGCUAAUACCGCAUAAGACCACAGCACCGCAUGGUGCAGGGGUAAAAACUCCGGUGGUAUGAGAUGGACCCGCGUCUGAUUAGGUAGUUGGUGGGGUAACGGCCUACCAAGCCGACGAUCAGUAGCCGACCUGAGAGGGUGACCGGCCACAUUGGGACUGAGACACGGCCCAA